rnacentral:rRNA from 1 species
UACGUAGGGGGCAAGCGUUGUUCGGAAUUACUGGGCGUAAAGCGCACGUAGGUGGCUUUGCAAGUCGAUUGUGAAAUCCCCGGGCUUAACCUGGGAACUGCGUUUGAAACUACAAGGCUAGAGUGUGGCAGAGGGGGGUGGAAUUCCACGUGUAGCAGUGAAAUGCGUAGAGAUGUGGAGGAACACCGAUGGCGAAGGCAGCCCCCUGGGUUAACA